rnacentral:rRNA from 1 species
GAUGAACGCUGGCGGCGUGCCUAAUACAUGCAAGUCGAGCGAACAGACGAGGAGCUUGCUCCUCUAACGUUAGCGGCGGACGGGUGAGUAACACGUGGAUAACCUACCUAUAAGACUGGGAUAACUUCGGGAAACCGGAGCUAAUACCGGAUAAUAUAUUGAACCGCAUGGUUCAAUAGUGAAAGACGGUUUUGCUGUCACUUAUAGAUGGAUCCGCGCCGCAUUAGCUAGUUUGUAAGGUAACAGCUUACCAAGGCAACGAUGCGUAGCCGACCUGAGAGGGUGAUAGGCCACACUGGAACUGAGACACGGUCCAGACUCCUACGGGAGGCAGCAGUAGGGAAUCUUCCGCAAUGGGCGAAAGCCUGACGGAGCAACGCCGCGUGAGUGAUGAAGGUCUUCGGAUCGUAAAACUCUGUUAUUAGGGAAGAACAAAUGUGUAAGUAACUAUGCACGUCUUGACGGUACCUAAUCAGAAAGCCACGGCUAACUACGUG